rnacentral:rRNA from 1 species
GGAUUGUAGUCUGCAACCCGACUACAUGAAGCUGGAAUCGCUAGUAAUCGCGGAUCAGAAUGCCGCGGUGAAUACGUUCCCGGGUCUUGUACACACCGCCCGUCACACCAUGGGAGUCGGAAAUGCCCGAAGUCGGUGACCCAACCGGAAGGAGGGAGCCGCCGAAGGCAGGUCCGGUAACUGGGGUGAAGUCGUAACAAGGUAUC